UACGGAGGGUGCAAACGUUGCUCGGAAUCAUUGGGCGUAAAGCGCACGUAGGCGGCCUCAAAAGUCGGAUGUGAAAUCCCGUGGCUCAACCAUGGACGUGCAUUCGAAACUGCGAGGCUUGAGUAUGGAAGAGGGUCGCGGAAUUCCCGGUGUAGAGGUGAAAUGCGUAGAUAUCGGGAGGAACACCAGUGGCGAAGGCGACUAUCUGGGCUGAAACUGACGCUGAGGCGCGAAGGCUAGGGGAGCAAACAGG
rnacentral:rRNA from 1 species